CUGAAAUGGUUCUUUGUCUUGCAAAAGGUUCUUUAUUUCCCUCCUUUUUUAUUUUAAAUUGAGUCAGUUAUUUUCAAGCUGCCUCCUGAUUAUUUUCACCUGUAAAAGCCCUGAAUCAUCAGUCCUGCUGAACCGCCUGCAGAUUAACAUCACAAGCAGCAGGUAAACUUUAUACUGUAAGCUUCAUUCCCUUUAUAACAGAGUUUUCGUAUGUGAGAUAAUCUUGCUGGGAGUGAAGGCAGUGCGAUAUGAGAGACACUUCCUGUUUUUAAAGGUAAACUUUAAGCUUCAUUCCCUUUAAAGCAGAGUUUUCGUGUGGUAAUCUUUCUUAUGCUGGGAAUGAAGGAAGUGAGUAUGAUCACUUAAUAUGAGAGACACGUUUUUAAAGGUGGAUCAUGAGUGAAGCUCUGCAGGUCGGCCAUUGACUUGAUAACAGUGGUUUAUGUUUAUUCAAUUUAUGAAUAAAUCUCUCGCCAACCAUUCACCUAUUUACUGACAAAACAGAUCCAAAUCUUGUAUGAUGAUGACUACUGCAAGGUGAUGGGAAUCUGUGGUAAUCAUAACCUGUGUCUCAAGAUCAACAUGACAACAGCAGACCAUCUCUUAUCUUACUCUUAUCUGACUAAAUGUUCAACUUCAUUGCCACAAAACAAAGAACAUUGGAUGGAGUAUGUACUGUACAAUGAUCCAGCAAACAAAAUAAUAUGGACUUUUUUGGAGAGAUUCUACAAACAUUGACACAAUCCUAUUGACUUUUAUAUUUACAUUAAUCUGUAUUAUGCCAUUUAUCUGUUUGUGCUAAAGUGCUUACAUCUGAAUGUAAUGUCAUAAUAUGUUAAUAUUCAGUAUUUAUUAUCAUUUGCAUGUUUUGAUGUCGCAUAUGUCAUGAUUUUAUUGAUUUCAUGUUAUUGUUGUCUAUUUAGAAUGAUUGUCUAUGCCAAAUUGUAUUGUUCAUUUAUUUAAUUUUGAAGCUAUCAUUUAACAUCCAUAUCUUAUUUGAGUAAUGAUUUGUUAUAUUUGCAUAAAAAUUCAUAUAUUUAUUUUGAUUCUGAUUGAUUUUAAUGCACAUAUUUAUUAUUGUAUGAUAUCUCAUGUAAUGAAAAAGUGAAAAUAAAAGUAUUUUUCUGA